CAGGGCACCCCUGGGGCCGGGCUGGUGACAGCGGCAGCGGCGGCCGGCGCAGGGUCGCGGCUCCCUAGGAGAUGCUGCAGCGGCGGCAGCACCAGCCACCUCCUCCGGGAGCCAAUCCCGAAUGCAGGGGUGGGGGCCGGAGCUCGAUGCGUCCGCACUUGGGGGUGGGGGGGCAGAGAGAGAAAGAAGACACCAGGCACCCCCUCUCCACACCCCUGCCCUUCCCCCAGCCCUCCUGCAGCAGAGCAGACUUAGCGGGAGGGAGAUCUUGAGAGAGAGAAAGAGAGAGAGAGAGAGAGAGAGAGAGAGAGAGAGAGAGAGAGAGAGAGGAGGCGCUGGUGCAGAGUUAGGGAGAGGCGGCCGAGCUGCACACCUUGAGUCCUGGCCUCCUCCGCAGGGAGCCCCUGCACCCCAGCGGGGUCAGCACAAGGGCCUGGACUCAGAGACCAGAGGCCGGAACUGGCAGACUGUCCUCACAGGCUGUGUGAUGCUGGCUGGUCGUCCCAUCUCUCCAGGGCCCCACAGGACCAGGGACCGGGACACGGAAGGACAGUGGACCACAGUGGUCGGGGGACCCGCCUGUUGGAGGCAGGUGCAGGCCCGUGUGGUGGGGACAAUGAGCUUUGCUAUUUGCAAGUCCUGUCCAGAGCAUAGAUCCUCCUGUUCAGAAGCCACCUCAUUAAUGUCCCCAAUACCUCCCCGACUUAGGAAGGCAUCCCCUUGCGGUUCCAGCCAGUCAGGGACACAGGGCCGGGGAUCCCAUGCCGCUUAGAACAGGUUCAGCUGCAUCUAAUCCCAGGGGACCCUGUGAGGAACCUACAUACCCUCCAGGCUGGCCCACAGGAGCUGAGGUGGGUCUCUCCUCCAGGUUUACCUCCUGGGCUCAUGGCCCCUUCCCCAUAUCCCAAGGCCAGCUCUGCAGAGUCAUGGGGAGAAGCCAGAGCCCCAGCCACACUCGCCACACACACCAACGCCCACUCUGGUGUCCUCCGGCCAGCGACAGCGAGGGACAGAGCGGCGCUCCCUGCACCUGCCCAGUCCGGAGGCUUCUUGGGUGAUGACAGGCCCUGCUCCCGGCCCCACACACCCCACUAAAGACCCCACGUCUCACCAUAAAGGAGGCCAGGAGGUUUUAAGCUUCUACCAGGUCCAAGCACUUUCCUGGAAACUAAAUAGCUUCCCACUGGCAGCCGGAGUGCGUGGUGUGAGGGGCGGUGUCCGAACUCCCCCUGCAAGGCCCCUCCCCUGCACCCCACUUCCUCCGGCCUGCCAUCUCCAGGCAGAGUUGAGGGGGGCAGGCCAGGCCUGCAGCUGGGGUCAGGGUUAUAGACAGCCACAGCGGGGGAGGUGGGGAGCAGUCUGUAGCCUGUGCAGGAGGCUCUGUAAAGGAUUCGGGUGCUCCGUGGUGGUGAGAGAGAGGGUGUGCAGCGGACGUGGCCAUAAAUCACCCUCCUCACAGCAGCCCCACACCCAAGGAGCAGGGCAUGGGCACAGGGCCAUCUCUUCCCAGUAGAAGGGCUGGUGUUGGUGGUCAGACCCCGACGGUCCUUAGGGUCCGUAGGACAGAGUCAGAAGACAGAGCAGUUCCUUCGUUUACCCACAGCACCAGCCUCACAGUAACAGCCGGCACACAGCACUUAGGCUGCCUGGUGUUCCAGAAGCUUCUGCAGUGGCUAUGCGGGGACUAUGCUGAGCUCAAGGCACCCAUAAGAGGAGGGCAUUUUGCUGUCCCCACUUUACCAAGAAGGAACUGGGGCUUGGGGUGGGUGCUCACUAGCCCAAGGUCCCACACCCAGCAUCGAUUGGAGCUGGGUGUGUUACGGCCAAUCUGGUCCCCACCUUGUCCCAGAG
rnacentral:lncRNA from 1 species